UUCCCGGGCCUUGUACACACCGCCCGUCACGUCACGAAAGUCGGUAACACCCGAAGCCGGUGGCCAACCCCUUGUGGGGAGGGAGCUGUCGAAGGUUGGGAACUGGCGAUUGGGACG
rnacentral:rRNA from 1 species